UGGGGUUGGUGAGGAGGGAGGGGAGUAUCUUGUCCUUAAUGUCUCUGACCAGUUUUCACAGAUGGGAAUUUAAUAACACUUCUUAACCACUCACAGGUGUCGUUAAGAUAAAUAUUUGAGCAAACAAAUAGCCCGGCAAUACAGGAGUCACACAUAUGCUGGAAUGCGGUGAGCACUCAAAGCUUCUGUCUGUCAGAAUCUCUAGUUUCAUGAAGGCAUAGUUGAGUAGAAGAAUCAGAGCUGACAUUUAAAAAUGAGAUUUGCAUGAAGCCGUGUUGAAAUUGCUUCCUAGGAAUUUCUGCAAAAGGCAUUUCUGCAGAGUUUGUUGUUAAGAAGUCAUGGUAGGAAAUGUGCUAAUUUUUGCUUUGAAGCAUUUAACAAGAACCAAAACACAAAUAAAUGACAUUUAGAGUCUGAAUUUACUUGCAAAGCUCUACCAUCCACCAAGUAUCUGUUGGUGAGUCAGCCAGCUGUUUGUCUGUCCCUGUAAAUCUGUGUGAUGAAAUAUGUCCAAGACCAGCAAGAGCCGUGUAUCAGGAUGAGAAUUGUCUGGCAUGCCACCUUGCUGCUCCAGAAUACCAUCAAGAUGCUCAAAUAAAAAUGAGCUGGGACAAUGUAACAGCUGGCCAAGACGAGCAUGGGAACGAAGUGUGGUGACAGGAGAUGCAGAAGUGACUCGGUAUGUUGGCAUUCCUUUCUUUUCAGGGGAAGGACAUGUGAAAGGACUAGUCACCAACAGAAAGACCCUCUCAUGUUCUAUUGUGGUGAAACCUCCAGCCUCCAAAUAAUACCACAAGUUGUGUGCUUCCAGAUGUAAUUGGUGUAUGCGCAUUCUCACACUGCGGGAAUUAGAUUCAGUCUUCUCACCCCACAGCCCUGCUUAUUUUUUAUUUUCAAAUAUUAACACAGGACAUGACUGCAGGGAACCGAAGGCAAAGAGACUACAUCCCUAAGACUGUAAUGUUGAAUGCCACAGUUGUUUCCUGACUCAGAAAUGGAAGGCAAAACUUUGAAGGACAAUUAUUAGCUUAUAAAAUCAUAUUACGUCAGUCCCACGAGAGAAGAUGUUAUUCCAUAUCACGGAAAGUUCAUGCUUAGCAAACCCCACCUACAGCUAGAACAGGAGCGAGCCAUGGCUGUUUUAAAAGUGGUUCUUCUUGACCUCAAUUUAUGUCCAUCUUGAUGGCUGCCCUUUAGUACUUCUCAAAGACAGCAUCUGAAGAAUGUUUCCUCUCAUCUCCACUACCUGUGCCUGGCAAAGCAAUGUCUGAAAAGACUAACCAUACCAAAACACUGCUGUGUGACAAAGCAGGGUCUGAGGGUGAUGAAGAGCAUCACAUGGCACAGAAAUAUUUUUUAUAUGACCAAUCCAACUGCAGAGAGGACACAAAUACAUUUAGCCUUCUCCCAGUGGUAAAUCUUCAUGCUUCUUCUAAAAUGCUGUUAUUUCAUUGUAAGUAGAAAGGGUCAUUUCCAUGCAACUUCUCUCUCUCUGUGGUGUUGCCAGUGCGAAAAAGACUUAUUUAGCAAGUGGAAAUGAGUAUUAUAGUGCCUUGUUCAUCAGAUACCUAAAAUAAAACAUAAGAAUAAA